rnacentral:ncRNA from 1 species
CGGAAGGCAAUGACGAAGAAGAGUAGCAAAUACGGAUACUUAAGAGAGCUGAUGGCUGGUGUGAAUCAGUGUGGAUGUAUGUGUGAAUGGACUUCAGAGCCCCAAACUGAAAGCUGGUGAAAGCAAGUAGGCUUUGGCGAAAAGUCUCAUCGUUACAGGAGACAGGCAUUUAAAUAUUUUUUUUAGAUGCUUGUUAAGUGAGCUGAAUUUUUAGCUAAUGAAGGUGGUACCACGGGUUUCUCGUCCUUUAG